CACGGGGCACGACGGUUUGACAUUUAAAACCAAUGGGACUCGCUGUCUGGAACUGGAUCUGUUUUCUUCAUGUGGAUAUUCGUCAAAUUAAUAAAUAUUAGGAUACGCAACAGGUGACGGGCUUCCCCGGAUGUCAUCUGUGUCGUUGGCCUCUGUUCAGAGGCAGCAUUCAGGACCUAGGGAGAGCUGGCUGGCAACAUGCCCGAUCUACAAGUGAGCUGUCCUAUCAUUGACAUCAAGCACAUACAUUUGUUUUGUAUGAGCCCUGCAUGGCCUGGUAUUCAGGCUACAGUCCAUCUGGUGGACAGCACUGUAAGCUGCAUCAAUGGCGAGCACUGAUCUCUGGAGCUGGUAAACAGACACCAAACUGGUCAGCUACUUGACUUGUUCUACUUGACUCCUGAACCAUUUUAAUAUCAGGCUGCCAUGGGUUUCCUUCCUGUAAGCCAGCGUCUUCAUAUUUCGGUUUCUGCUCUCCAGGAAUGGGAGAUAAAAACUGAGCAUGCUGUUGGUGAAUUCUACCAGUGUGUAUUAAUAUAGUAAGUGACCUUGAUGAUGCCCCCUUAAAAACACCACGGAGAGUGUGCAGAGAGCACAAAUGUUGAGAAAAUAUUUUGGAUUCAUUUGACUAUUAUUUUUUAUUUAAAUAUAGAAACCAACACCUGUGUACUCCCACUGUUUAUCACAACAUGCCCAAUUGUUUCCUUAAAAGAAAGCAUAA